CAACAACACAAACAAAGAACUAGAGAAACCAUGACAACAUGCUGGUGCACGGCCUGCAGGUCACCAUGACAACAUGCUGGUGUACGGUCUGCAGGUCACCAUGACAACAUGCUGGUGCACGGCCUGCAGGUCACCAUGACAACAUGCUGGUGUACGGUCUGCAGGUCACCAUGACAACAUGCUGGUGUACGGCCUGCAGGUCACCAUGACAACAUGCUGGUGUACGGUCUGCAGGUCACCAUGACAACAUGCUGGUGUACGGUCUGCAGGUCAACCUACCAUGACAACAUGCUGGUGUACGGUCUGCAGGUCACCAUGACAACAUGCUGGUGCACGGCCUGCAGGUCACCAUGACAACAUGCUGGUGCACGGCCUGCAGGUCACCAUGACAACAUGCUGGUGUACGGUCUGCAGGUCACCAUGACAACAUGCUGGUGCACGGCCUGCAGGUCACCAUGACAACAUGCUGGUGUACGGCCUGCAGGUCACCAUGACAACAUGCUGGUGUACGGUCUGCAGGUCACCAUGACAACAUGCUGGUGUACGGUCUGCAGGUCACCAUGACAACAUGCUGGUGUACGGCCUGCAGGUCACCAUGACAACAUGCUGGUGUACGGUCUGCAGGUCACCAUGACAACAUGCUGGUGUACGGU